rnacentral:ribozyme from 1 species
UUGUUCCAUUUUCUUUUCUUUCUUUUCUUUUCUCUUUUCAUGUUUUGUGGAUU